CGAGGAAUCUUGGUCAAUGGGCGCAAGCCUGAACCAGCGACGCCGCGUGGGGGACGACGGCCCUCGGGUUGUAAACCCCUUUUCUCCGGGACGAAGUUCUGACGGUACCGGAGGAAGAAGCCACGGCUAACUACGUGCCAGCAGCCGCGGUAAUACGUAGGUGGCGAGCGUUGUCCGGAUUUAUUGGGCGUAAAGCGCGCGCAGGCGGUUGCUUAAGUUCGGUGUGAAAGCUCCCGGCUCAACUGGGAGAGGGCACUGGAGACUGGGCGACUGGAGGUGGGCAGAGGCUGGUGGAAUUCCCGGUGUAGUGGUGAAAUGCGUAGAUAUCGGGAGGAACACCCAUGGCGAAGGCAGCCAGCUGGGCCUGACCUGACGCUGAGGCGCGAAAGCGUGGGGAGCGAACCGG
rnacentral:rRNA from 1 species